rnacentral:lncRNA from 1 species
AAUAAGGACUUGACAACUAGUACAGUCUGUCAACUAUGUAUUGUAGAGAUUGCCAACAAAGAGUUACCAAUAGAUCUCAUACUCUUAGACAUACACGAUUUUGAUGUCAUACUAAAAAUGGAUUAGUUAGCAGUAUACCAUGCCAAUAUAGAUUAUCAUGGAAAGACAGUGACUUUUAAUAUUCCCAAUGACAAGGCCUUCAAAUUCAAAGGGAUUAGGGAGCCCCAAUAUCCAUGUCUCGUAUCUUGCAUUCAAGCUCAACGAUUACUUGAGAAGGGAUGUGUAGGGUAUUUGGUGUACAUAGUGGAGAAUAGAAAUAGAGAAGUCAAUCUACAAUAGAUACCA